AAAACAUCGCCUCUUGCAAAUAAAUGAAUAAGAGGUCCCGCCUGCCCUGUGACUAUAUGUUUAACGGCCGCGGUAUUUUGACCGUGCGAAGGUAGCGCAAUCACUUGUCUUUUAAAUGAAGACCUGUAUGAAUGGCAUCACGAGGGCUUAGCUGUCUCCCCAUCCCAGUCAAUGAAAUUGAUCUCCCCGUGCAGAAGCGGGGAUAAAAACAUAAGACGAGAAGACCCUAUGGAGCUUAAGACGCCAGAAUAGCUCAUGUUAAACAUUCUAUGGCCAAAAGAAAUAAACUAAAUGAGAUCCUAUCCUAAUGUCUUUGGUUGGGGCGACCGCGGAGAAAAACUUAACCCCCAUGUGGAUUAGGAAUACUAUCUUCCCAGACCCAAGAGCCCCCACUCUAAUAAACAGAACUUCUGACUAAAAAGAUCCGGCAAUGCCGAUCAACGGACCGAGUUACCCUAGGGAUAACAGCGCAAUCCUCUUAAAGAGUCCCUAUCGACAAGAGGGUUUACGACCUCGAUGUUGGAUCAGGACAUCCUAAUGGUGCAGCCGCUAUUAAGGGUUCGCCGUCGGUACUAGUC
rnacentral:rRNA from 1 species